CCAACCCAACCGAGGCUGCUAAGAAGAUGAGCAACAGCAUCAACAGAGGAGAAGAUGAAGAUGAAGAUGAUGAUGAAGAUGAAGAUACAGUCUCGAAAAUUCCAUUGAUGAAAUCAAUGAAUAAGCGAUUUUACCAGAAUAUUGAUCAUUCCAAGGGUCGAUCACUUAAAGAUGAUCGAGAUCGAUGGUCUUGCUUGCGAUUUAUUUCAUAAGCCCAUCGAUGGAGCUACACUUCCAAUUGUUCUACUAGGCUGGACUCCAAUCUGAAAAGAGGCAAAUGGAGGAAGAAUUUGGAUGGCUAUGAAUUCAAGCUAAGUAUCCAAGUAAAAGCAACAAAGCAAACCACUCUUUUGGACUUGAAGCAUAUUGGAUGUGUUAAAAAUAGUUGUUAAAGUGUUAUAUGACAAAAAUGUAUAAAAGUGAGAUAUGAAUUAAAAUUUUAAGUAUAUGAGUGCCUCCAAUAGAGUCGUAUUCUCUGAUUAGUAUAUGAGUGCUCCAAUAGAGUCGUAUUCUCUUGUUUAUAUAUUCAAAGUUUGUGUUCUCUUGUAAUCUAAGCCAUUAUCUUGAGCAUCAUAGUAGUGGAUGUGUAAAAAAUGUCUGUUACAAAAAAAAGAAAAAAAAAAGAAAAAAAAAAGGAUAAAAGCUAGAUUCAA